GUUGUGAUAGACUCCACACGUCUCAGGACAUUGUAUUUCUCCUUAUUCCUCAAUUAAUAAUUUCUUCUCAGAAUCCUUCAUGGGUGGAGACCAGUGACUUGAAGCCGGGUCCUUGCAUACUAUGAUGCGAACACUUAACUAGGUCUGCCACCACCUCGCCCCAGGAGCUUGUUUUUAUAGCAAGAGAGAAAUGGACAGAGGAGGGGAAGACAAAAGGGAAGAGAAAGAGACCUGCAGACCUGCUUCACCAUCUGUGAAGUGACUUUCCUGAAGGUGGGGAGCCAGGAGCUCAAACCACAAGUUCUCUUUUCUGUACUUAAUGAAUUGACAUUUCAGAUCUGUCACUGUAUCAUCUAAUCACAAGAAAAAUAAAGA